rnacentral:rRNA from 2 species
ACGGAAGGCAGCAGUGAGGAAUAUUGGUCAAUGGACGGAAGUCUGAACCAGCCAAGUCGCGUGAAGGAUGAAGGUAUUAUGUAUUGUAAACCUCUUUAGCAGUGGAGUAAUAAGGGGAUCGUGAUCCCUGAUGCAAGUACACUGAGAAUAAGGAUCGGCUAACUCCGUGCCAGCAGCCGCGGUAAUACGGAGGAUCCGAGCGUUAUCCGGAUUUAUUGGGUUUAAAGGGUGCGCAGGCGGCUUUUUAAGUCAGUGGUUAAAUCGUGACGCUCAACGUCAUCACGCCAUUGAUACUGGAGAGCUUGAUUGCGGUCGAGGUUUGCGGAAUUCGUUGUGUAGCGGUGAAAUGCAUAGAUAUGACGAAGAACACCGAUUGCGUAGGCAGCAGACCAGGCCGUAAAUGACGCUCAUGCACGAAAGUGCGGGGAUCGAACAGGAUUAGAUACCCUGGUA